AUUGAACGCUGGCGGCAGGCCUAACACAUGCAAGUCGAGUGAGCGGCGGACGGGUGAGUAAUGUCUGGGAAACUGCCUGAUGGAGGGGGAUAACUACUGGAAACGGUAGCUAAUACCGCAUACCAUCAGAUGUGCCCAGAUGGGAUUAGCUAGUAGGUGGGGUAACGGCUCACCGAGGCGACGAUGCCUAGCUGGUCUGAGAGGAUGACCUGCCAAACUGGAACUGAGACACGGUCCAGACGCCUACGGGAGGCAGCAGUGGGGAAUAUUGCACAAUGGGCGCAAGCCUGAGGCAGCCAUGCCGCGUGGGUGAAGAAGGCCUUCGGGUUGUAAAGCACUGUCAGCGGGGAGGCGUUACCCGCAGAAGAAGCACCGGCUAACUCCGUGCCAGCAGCCGCGGUAAUAC
rnacentral:rRNA from 1 species